rnacentral:sRNA from 1 species
CUCGCAGCUGCCGGAUUCGUGGAGUGUGGAGUUAACUCUUUUCUCUCCCGCAGGUGACCAUGCCUCGGACUCACUAUCUGGAGAGAACAGUCCAGCCCCGCAGGGGCGACCUGCGGAAGUCCAGGACUCUUCCGUGCCAGUUCCCGCCCAGCCCAAAGCGGGAGGCUCUGGCAGCUACUGGCCAGCUCGGCACUCAGGAGCCCGAGUGAUACUGCUGGUGCUCUACCGGGAGCACCUGAAUCCUAAUGGUCACCACUUCUUAACCAAGGAGGAGCUGCUGCAGAGGUGUGCUCAGAAGUCCCCCAGGGUAGCCCCUGGGAGUGCUCGACCCUGGCCAGCCCUCCGCUCCCUCCUUCACAGGAACCUGGUCCUCAGGACACACCAGCCAGCCAGGUACUCAUUGACUCCAGAGGGCCUGGAGCUGGCCCAGAAGUUGGCCGAGUCAGAAGGCCUGAGCUUGCUGAAUGUGGGCAUCGGGCCCAAGGAGCCCCCUGGGGAGGAGACAGCAGUGCCAGGAGCAGCUUCAGCAGAGCUUGCCAGUGAAGCA